rnacentral:misc_RNA from 1 species
GCGGAGGAAAAGAAACCAACAGGGAUUGCCUUAGUAACGGCGAGUGAAGCGGCAACAGCUCAAAUUUGAAAUCUGGCUCCUUCGGGGUCCGAGUUGUAAUUUGCAGAGGAUGCUUCGAGUUAUGGUUCCUUCCGAGUUCCCUGGAACGGGACGCCAUAGAGGGUGAGAGCCCCGUCUGGUAGGAAACCAUGCUCAUGUGAAGCUCCCUCGACGAGUCGAGUAGUUUGGGAAUGCUGCUCUAAGGGGAGGUAUACUCCUUCCAAGGCUAAAUACCGGCUAGAGACCGAUAGCGCACAAGUAGAGUGAUCGAAAGAUGAAAAGUACUUUGAAAAGAGAGUCAAACAGCACGUGAAAUUGUUAAAAGGGAAGCGCUCGCUACCAGACGUGGGUUCGGUGGUUCAACCAGGUCCAUGACCUGGGGCACUCCGCCGGCCCAGGCCAGCAUCAGCUUUCCGUCGGGGGCAAAGGCGUCGGGAAUGUGGCUCUCCUUCGGGGGAGUGUUAUAGCCCGUCGCGUCAUACUCUUCGGGGGGCUGAGGUACGCGCUCCGCAAGGAUGCUGGCGUAAUGGUAGCUAGUGACCCGUCUUGAAACACGGACCAAGGAGUCAACCUUAUGUGCGAGUGCCCGGGCGUAAAACCCCAGCGCGGAAUGAAAGUGAACGUAGGUGAGAGCUUCGGCGCAUCACCGACCGAUCCUGAUGUCCUCGGACGGAUUUGAGUGAGAGCAUAUAGGGUUGGACCCGAAAGAAGAUGAACUAUGCGUGUGUAGGGUGAAUCCAGAGGAAACUCUGGUGGAGGCUCGCAGCGGUUCUGACGUGCAAAUCGA